rnacentral:rRNA from 1 species
AACGAACGCUGGCGGCAGGCUUAACACAUGCAAGUCGAACGCCCCGCAAGGGGAGUGGCAGACGGGUGAGUAACGCGUGGGAACAUACCCUUUCCUGCGGAAUAGCUCUGGGAAACUGGAAUUAAUACCGCAUACGCCCUACGGGGGAAAGAUUUAUCGGGGAAGGAUUGGCCCGCGUUGGAUUAGCUAGUUGGUGGGGUAAAGGCCUACCAAGGCGACGAUCACUAGCUGGUCUGAGAGGAGGAUCAGCCACAUUGGGACUGAGACACGGCCCAAACUCCUACGGGAGGCAGCAGUGGGGAAUAUUGGACAAUGGGCGCAAGCCUGAUCCAGCCAUGCCGCGUGAGUGAUGAAGGCCUUAGGGUUGUAAAGCUCUUUCACCGAUGAAGAUAAUGACGGUAGUCGGAGAAGAAGCCCCGGCUAACUUCGUGCCAGCAGCCGCAGUAACAC